UACGAAGGGUGCAAGCGUUACUCGGAAUUACUGGGCGUAAAGCGUGCGUAGGUGGUUUGUUAAGUCUGAUGUGAAAGCCCUGGGCUCAACCUGGGAAUUGCAUUGGAUACUGGCAGGCUAGAGUGCGGUAGAGGAUGGCGGAAUUCCUGGUGUAGCAGUGAAAUGCGUAGAGAUCAGGAGGAACAUCCGUGGCGAAGGCGGCCAUCUGGACCAGCACUGACACUGAGGCACGAAAGCGUGGGGAGCAAACAGGAUUAGAUACCCUGGUAGUCCACGCCCUAAACGAUGCGAACUGGAUGUUGGGUUCAACUAGGAACUCAGUAUCGAAGCUAACGCGUUAAGUUCGCCGCCUGGGGAGUACGGUCGCAAGACUGAA
rnacentral:rRNA from 1 species